rnacentral:tRNA from 1 species
GUGCCAAUAUCUUAACGGUUAGAGUCAGUGUCUGUUAAACACUUGUGUGUAGGUUCAAUUCCUACUUGGCACG